CCCCGGCCGUGGAGGCAAAGCAGCGGCAGGUGCUGGCAGCCGCACUUGCAGAAGGUGGAGGAGAGGUAACCGCUGGCCCCAAAGAGCGCACAGAUGCUCUGUGCGGGGCCGGCUAGUUAUUAUUAUUAUUUAAAUAAACAUCUGAAGAAAAUUGACCUCAUGUGUAGAAUAAAUGAUGUUGGUACCACGAAAAUGUCACUAGCCUUCAAAGGAACUGCAGUAGCUCCCACACAUUUCAGAUCACGCAUUAUGAGGACUACUUUCAAAUCAAAAGCAUUAAAAAAACAAACAGGUCUUAGGCAAACACUUCCAAUUUGCCCAGCUCAGGAAAAGAAACAAGACACUGCUUUGUGUGUUUGCUGCAUGGAAAGUAAAACAAACAUUUACACAGUUUUAGUUUUGCUUACACUUGCAGUCCAAGAUUAAAUAAGAAUUUGUUUUGAUUUGACCUAUACAGUGAAUGUUGAACUCGAUUUUUGGUUUGGAUUAUC